UACGUAGGGGCCAAGCGUUGUCCGGAAUCAUUGGGCGUAAAGAGCGUGUAGGCGGCUUGUUAAGUCUUGUGUGAAAUCUCGGGGCUCAACCCCGAGCGGUCGUGAGAAACUGGCAGGCUAGAGUGCGGGAGAGGAGAGUGGAAUUCCUGGUGUAGCGGUGAAAUGCGCAGAUAUCAGGAAGAACACCCGUGGCGAAGGCGGCUCUCUGGAACGCAACUGACGCUGAGACGCGAAAGCGUGGGGAGCAAACAGG
rnacentral:rRNA from 1 species